GACGAACGCUGGCGGCGUGCUUAACACAUGCAAGUCGAACGGAAAGGCCCUGCUUUUGUGGGGUGCUCGAGUGGCGAACGGGUGAGUAACACGUGAGUAACCUGCCCUUGACUUUGGGAUAACUUCAGGAAACUGGGGCUAAUACCGGAUAUGAGCUCCUGCUGCAUGGUGGGGGUUGGAAAGUUUCGGCGGUUGGGGAUGGACUCGCGGCUUAUCAGCUUGUUGGUGGGGUAGUGGCUUACCAAGGCUUUGACGGGUAGCCGGCCUGAGAGGGUGACCGGCCACAUUGGGACUGAGAUACGGCGCAGACUCCUACGGGAGGCAGCAGUGGGGAAUAUUGCACAAUGGGCGGAAGCCUGAUGCAGCAACGCCGCGUGCGGGAUGACGGCCUUCGGGUUGUAAACCGCUUUCGCCUGUGACGAAGCGUGAGUGACGGUAAUGGGUAAAGAAGCACCGGCUAACUACGUG
rnacentral:rRNA from 1 species